AAAUGGAUAAAAGAAACAGGUUCAGAUAGUAUACCAUGUUUUUUAUGUAAAUGGUAUCCUAGUAAAAAAUUAAGAGUUAAAUGUAAAGAGUGUUUUUUAGAAGCAUGUAAAAAAUGCUUAAUACAAAAAGACUUAGUAGAAUUUGAAGAGGAUAAUCAGAAUGAUUCAAUUCAAAUAGAAUUAUCAGAAAUAAAAAUAUUAAG
rnacentral:lncRNA from 1 species